AGAACGAACGCUGGCGGCGCGCUUAACACAUGCAAGUCGAACGGGGGUUCUUGGUUUCGACUGGGGACUCUAGUGGCGGACGGGUGAGUAACGCGUGGGAACCUGCCCUGGGCUCCGGGACAACCGCGGGAAACUGCGGCUAAUGCCGGAUGAUCCCCUGGAUCGAAGGUGAAGGGGGGCAAAGAUCCAUCUUAGGAUGGGGGCGGCCCAGGAUGGGCCCGCGUCCGAUUAGCUUGUUGGUGGGGUAACGGCCCACCAAGGCUUCGAUCGGUAGCUGGUCUGAGAGGAUGAUCAGCCACACUGGGACUGAGACACGGCCCAGACUCCUACGGGAGGCAGCAGUGGGGAAUCUUGGACAAUGGGGGCAAGCCUGAUCCAGCCAUGCCGCGUGAGUGAAGAAGGCCUUCGGGUUGUAAAGCUCUUUUACCAGGGACGAUAAUGACGGUACCUGGAGAAUAAGCCCGGCAAACUUCGUGCCAGCAGCCGC
rnacentral:rRNA from 1 species